CAGCCCUUUCCCAAAACAAACCUCCUCGCCUGGGGACUAAACUGCCUUUGUAAGACUAACAAAUUAGCCACAAGAUUAGAAAUUAUGGUUUAGGAGUCAUGCAGCUGGAGGCUACAAGAUUCUGACCCUCCCCAAAUUGCUCCUGGUAAUUACAUCCCUAUUAAAAAGCUUAAGAUCAGUGCUUGAGAGAUUUUGCCAACUCAGCACUUGAUGGAUCAACUGGCACCACCCAGACUGAUAAACUGGCUCAUCUGAUUUUGUGGCUUCUAUCCAGGAACUGAUUCAGCUCAAGAAGACAGCUUCGACUCCCUGUGAUUUCAUCUCCAACCCAAGCAAUCAGCACUCCCAACUCACUGGCCUCCCCCACCACCUACCAAAUUAUCCUUCCAAACUCUGAUCCCUGAAUGCUGAUGGAUCAUGCAAAUGGAGACUGAUUGGAGUAAUAACUCUGGUCUCUCCUACAGCUGGCUCUGCAUGAAUUACUCUUUCUCUAUUGCAAUUCCCCUGUCUUGAUAAAUUGGCUCUGUCUAGGCUGCAGGCAAGAUGAACCUGUUUGGCAGUUACGUCUUUCCUGGGGUGUCCACCACAGAGUGUGGAAGGCAGGUGUGUGGGCCUUUCUGGCAGCUGCCUGUGGUUUGGCCAAGCCCUGCCUCCCCCAUGUCCCCCUGGGCUCCAUCCUGUCUCCACUUGCAUUUAGGGGUGGCUGCUGCUCUGGGAACAUUAGAAUCCAGAAGAGAGAUGGAGCCACAUCAGUUUUUUUCAGGCAUCUUUCUAAAUGUUUGUAUCCAAGUUAAUCGCCCUUAUUCACUGUGGCAUUGCCUUUCUAAGCAAUUACCUCUGUGCCUGCUGCUAAAGAACUUCUCACCCAAGGGGGGCAGCCUGGGCACUACCCUGGGCAUUAAGUCUUGUGUUUGAUGUGCUCUUGUAAUUUUACUUUGUUAGAACCAAAUAUUUACAUGAUGGGUUUGGGAAUCUCUCCUUUUAGCUCCCGAUCCAAUAUGAAAUUCAGGAAACCAGUUUGUGAUAAACUGCAUCUGGCCAUUAAGGGGGCCCCUGGGUGACCCCAACAGAUUCACACCAGUGUAUGAAAAUUUGCCUGCAUUUCGGAGAAGAUAAAUGGGCUUUCCCUCUUCAGAUGCCUGAAGGGAGCACUUUGAGCUGAGUGGAGCUGUUUCAGGACUCCUCUUCCU
rnacentral:lncRNA from 10 species